UUGGAGAGUUUGAUCCUGGCUCAGGACGAACGCUGGCGGCGUGCUUAACACAUGCAAGUCGAACGGAAAGGCCCUGCUUUUGUGGGGUGCUCGAGUGGCGAACGGGUGAGUAACACGUGAGUAACCUGCCCUUGACUUUGGGAUAACUUCAGGAAACUGGGGCUAAUACCGGAUAGGAGCUCCUGCUGCAUGGUGGGGGUUGGAAAGUUUCGGCGGUUGGGGAUGGACUCGCGGCUUAUCAGCUUGUUGGUGGGGUAGUGGCUUACCAAGGCUUUGACGGGUAGCCGGCCUGAGAGGGUGACCGGCCACAUUGGGACUGAGAUACGGCCCAGACUCCUACGGGAGGCAGCAGUGGGGAAUAUUGCACAAUGGGCGGAAGCCUGAUGCAGCAACGCCGCGUGCGGGAUGACGGCCUUCGGGUUGUAAACCGCUUUCGCCUGUGACGAAGCGUGAGUGACGGUAAUGGGUAAAGAAGCACCGGCUAACUACGUGCCAGCAGCCGCGGUGAUACGUAGGGUGCGAGCGUUGUCCGGAUUUAUUGGGCGUAAAGGGCUCGUAGGUGGUUGAUCGCGUCGGAAGUGUAAUCUUGGGGCUUAACCCUGAGCGUGCUUUCGAUACGGGUUGACUUGAGGAAGGUAGGGGAGAAUGGAAUUCCUGGUGGAGCGGUGGAAUGCGCAGAUAUCAGGAGGAACACCAGUGGCGAAGGCGGUUCUCUGGGCCUUUCCUGACGCUGAGGAGCGAAAGCGUGGGGAGCGAACAGGCUUAGAUACCCUGGUAGUCCACGCUGUAAACGGUGGGUACUAGGUGUGGGGUCCAUUCCACGGGUUCCGUGCCGUAGCUAACGCUUUAAGUACCCCGCCUGGGGAGUACGGCCGCAAGGCUAAAACUCAAAGGAAUUGACGGGGCCCCGCACAAGCGGCGGAGCAUGCGGAUUAAUUCGAUGCAACGCGUAGAACCUUACCUGGGUUUGACAUGGAUCGGGAGUGCUCAGAGAUGGGUGUGCCUCUUUUGGGGUCGGUUCACAGGUGGUGCAUGGCUGUCGUCAGCUCGUGUCGUGAGAUGUUGGGUUAAGUCCCGCAACGAGCGCAACCCUUGUUCACUGUUGCCAGCACGUUAUGGUGGGGACUCAGUGGAGACCGCCGGGGUCAACUCGGAGGAAGGUGGGGAUGACGUCAAGUCAUCAUGCCCCUUAUGUCCAGGGCUUCACGCAUGCUACAAUGGCUGGUACAGAGAGUGGCGAGCCUGUGAGGGUGAGCGAAUCUCGGAAAGCCGGUCUCAGUUCGGAUUGGGGUCUGCAACUCGACCUCAUGAAGUCGGAGUCGCUAGUAAUCGCAGAUCAGCAACGCUGCGGUGAAUACGUUCCCGGGGCUUGUACACACCGCCCGUCAAGUCAUGAAAGUUGGUAACACCCGAAGCCGGUGGCCUAACCGUUGUGGGGGAGCCGUCGAAGGUGGGACUGGUGAUUAGGACUAAGUCGUAACAAGGUAGCCGUACCGGAAGGUGCGGCUGGAUCACCUCCUUU
rnacentral:rRNA from 2 species